rnacentral:lncRNA from 1 species
GUUAUUGUUGCAAACUCCAUUAGAAAUUUGAAUUGAUAUCAGUUUUGGAAAAAGGGAAACGGGGAUGUGAAAAAAAAGGGGGGGGGUUUAAAAAUUUUUCUCAUUUCAGAUUUCAUAAAUAAAAAGAAAAUUUCUUCAAACAUUUUUUUUGAGAGGAUUAAUAUUCAACAGCAUAGUGAAUUGCUCAAAGGCAAAAAAAAUAUUUUAAGUUCAUUAGACCACAUUCAUUCUGUGUCAGAAACCUAUGCUGUGUCAACUAUUUAAUUUUAGAUUUAAAAAGUUUGAAGAAGAAAUCUUUAAUUGAUUUGUAAAAUCUUGACAUUUGUUUUGUGUAAAAAAAAAAACAUGUAAUGUCAAAAAUUUGAUCACAAUCCAAAAUUCAGAGCUGUGUAUCACGCUUGAAUGUUUUGUCCAUACUUGCCCCAACUGUUCAGGGUUCGACCUCUGCGGUCGUAUAAAGCUGCGCCCUGCGGAGCACCUGG